GGUAGACGCUACGGACUAAAAUCCGUUGGCUUUUUAGACCAUGAGGGUUCAAGUCCCUCUACUCCCA
rnacentral:tRNA from 1 species